rnacentral:pre_miRNA from 1 species
UCUUACGAAUGAGCAGAGAAAGUGGUUUCUUGAGAUGGCAUCUACUCGUGGUGAAGAUGGUGUGAA